UCUAAUAUGGCAGAAUAGUGUAAUGGAUUUAAACCCCAUAAAUAAGAUAAUUUCUUUUUUAGAA
rnacentral:tRNA from 1 species